CCCCGCGUAGCUUAGUGGUUUAAAGCGCUGGCUUGUCAAGCCAGAGAUCGUCGGUUCAAAUCCGGCCACGGGGGCCA
rnacentral:tRNA from 1 species